GAAAUGCGAUAAGUAGUGUGAAUUGCAGAAUUCAGUGAAUCAUCGAAUCUUUGAACGCACAUUGCGCCCUUUGGUAUUCCUUAGGGCAUACCUGUUCGAGCGUCAUCUAAACCUUCAAGCCCUGCUUGGUGUUGGGUGCCUGUCCCGCCUCCGCGCGCGGACUCACCUCAAAUCCAUUGGCGGCCCCCGCGUCGGCCACGAGCGCAGCAGAAACGCGAACUCGUGAGCCCGUCCGGGCGGCUCCCAGAAGCUACACCCACCCAGUUUGACCUCGGAUCAGGUAGGGAUACCCGCUAAACUUAAGC
rnacentral:misc_RNA from 1 species